AUGACGGGCUCCUUCCGGCCGCUCCCAGUGGUGACGUUCAGCAGGAGCAGGAGCACGAGCUCCGGCCGCGUACAGCAGCCGCCACGACGGGCUCCCUCCGGCCACUCCCCGUUCCGCCGGAGCAUGAGAGAAGCAGCCGGCAGACGUUCAGCACGAGCAGGAGCAGCUAGGGCGGCGAUAGAUGCGGGAAGGCAAGAGCACGGCUGGCCACCUCCGGCCGCUCCACAGCCACGGCCGGCCGCGCCAUGGGGAGGCUUGCGCCGCCGCCUGCCUGCUCAGCCCGCGCCAUGGGGAGUCUCCCGCGAGCAGCACCACGGGGAGCACCGGCGACCAGCAGCCCGGGCGGGAGAGCGGCACCACGGAGUUGGCUCUGGCGACCAGCAGCCCGGGCGGCGCCAAAGCGCCCGUGAGCAGCAGCCUGGGCGGCGCCAGAUGCGAGCAGCUGCUGCUUGCCGCCGGCCAUGGCCGCCGCAGCCACUGCCAAGCAACAUCGGCAGACCAGCACAUCGGCUCCGGCGAUGA
rnacentral:rRNA from 1 species